rnacentral:rRNA from 1 species
GACGAACGCUGGCGGCGUGCUUAACACAUGCAAGUCGAACGGAAAGGCCCUGCUUUUGUGGGGUGCUCGAGUGGCGAACGGGUGAGUAACACGUGAGUAACCUGCCCUUGACUUUGGGAUAACUUCAGGAAACUGGGGCUAAUACCGGAUAGGAGCUCCUGCUGCAUGGUGGGGGUUGGAAAGUUUCGGCGGUUGGGGAUGGACUCGCGGCUUAUCAGCUUGUUGGUGGGGUAGUGGCUUACCAAGGCUUUGACGGGUAGCCGGCCUGAGAGGGUGACCGGCGAUAGUGGGAAAGAGUGCACGCCCGGCGCACGACGGGGGGCGGAAGGGGGGGGUGGUGCAGAAUGGGCGGAAGCAUGAUGCAGCAACGGCGAGUGGGGGGUGGGGGCUGGCGGGUUGGAACACGCAUUCGCCUGUGACGAAGCGGGAGGGGGGGGAGUGGGUAGAGAGAAAAGCACAAAGAAGGGG